rnacentral:rRNA from 1 species
AGCGAACGCUGGCGGCAGGCUUAACACAUGCAAGUCGAGCGCCGUAGCAAUACGGAGCGGCAGACGGGUGAGUAACGCGUGGGAACGUACCUUUUGAUUCGGAACAACACAGGGAAACUUGUGCUAAUACCGAAUAAGCCCUUACGGGAAAGAUUUAUCGCCGAAAGAUCGGCCCGCGUCUGAUUAGCUUGUUGGUGAGGUAACGGCUCACCAAGGCGACGAUCAGUAGCUGGUCUGAGAGGAUGAUCAGCCACAUUGGGACUGAGACACGGCCCAAACUCCUACGGGAGGCAGCAGUGGGGGAAUAUUGGACAAUA